CUGGUGCUGCAGGUGGUGCUGCAGCUGCAUUGCUAACAGGAAAAACAGAACAACACAAUGACUUGACAGGUUUUGGACUAAAUGAACUGUUUCCAUUUGUAAUUCAGAGUCAUAACUUCUGUAUCCAGGACAGAAAAUGAAUCUGAAACAUCUCUGCAGUGGAAACUCGGACCUCAGCAUCCAGAGCAGCCGCAGUGUGUGAAGAGAGGUCAGAGGUCACUAGGCCCCUCAGACGCCUUCAGGACAACAUGCAGCAUCACGUCCAGGAAGCUGCGCAGCAAAACCUCAACACUCMUUAAAUAUUAAAGCGGUAAGUUCAUCUCUGACGUUGUGCCAAUAAUUAAUGAGCUUCUGGGUCUGGAGGCCCUUCAGAGGAAACUUUAGUUUUUCUGUGAAAUAUCGUCUUUUUGUUUCUUUGUUCUGUUUCUGCAGACGAUCCGUCUCCAGUUUCUGGAAAGUUUCUCUAGAAAAAGUUUAAAACUGCACAUCUGCUGCAGCUGCAAACAUUGUUUUAGAAAAGUGCAUGACUUUUAGAGAAAGUGACGCGUCAGCGCUGCCGUGGCUCAUGUUUCAAACUUUAUUCUGUAAAGAAGACAAAACAGAAUUUCAUUAGAUUUUUGGGCCAUAAAAUACCAACUAAUUGGGUUAAAAGCAAUAAAAACUGGGAUAAAAACAUUUAAAAAAUGAAUAACUACAAUAAAUUAAAUAUAGUUUCAUAUUAUAUACAAAUUAAUCCAUAAAAGAAUAAAGUAGGAUAUUUAUUUAAUGUCAGAAUGUUAUUAUUGUUCAUGGGAUCCAGACUUCAGAUCAUUUCUGUUUUUGCUUUUUUUAGUUAUUUUUUUUGUAAAUAUUUUUAUUGUCUUCUAAUAAAACUUUGACUUCUCUCCUGUUUUCUAAAAGAUGCAUAUUUUUACAGUGUACUGUCCUACACUGUACAAUUUCAUUAAUUUCAUUAAAUCUAACAGGAGUUUGCAUUAACAGAUUCCAGCUAAUCUAUACAUUUCAUUGAUCUGCUUUGCUCCACAGGAAGCUGCAGAAACGUUUGAAGGAUUUGGACAUUUUAAACGUUGCUGACAUAAAGCAGCAGCUGCAGGAAGGAGAAGCGCAGGUUUCCAUGGAUGACUUGCAUUUCUCCGGUUUGUCAACAGAGCGGAGCAGAGGUGUAAUUACGGGCUGCCGCUCCAUCAGGUAACAAACACUGAGGCGGUUCUGAUCAGCUGGAGGCCUCUCUGGUUUCUCUGGGCUUUAUUGUUCAUGGAGAUGUUUUUGGAUCUGCAGGGAUGAAUAAUUGCCACUAAUCCCAGCAGCGUUGUGUUUCWGAGCUGAAGGAUUCCAGAAUGAGCCGUCCAGAUUCAGAGGGCCGGCCCGGCAUGUUGUGAAAGAAACAAAAAUGCUCUCUGGCCUGUUUCACUUCUCCCACUGGCACAAACAAAGGAGGGGGCGGAGCCUCACAUUCCCAUCGCUGCAUCUGCAGGAUGAGAGUUCAGUUUAACUUCAUGCAUCCAAAAACAUUUCAUUUUUAAUGUCUUGCGUUUUGUAAACUUCUUUAUUUGCUGCAGAAGAAACAAUGAAGAACUGAAAAGUGCGUCUACGUGAUUCAGGUCCCGAUCAGASCGCAGAAGAACCUGUUCUGACCUGAAGGGCCUCAGGGAGGUCAGAGGCUCCAGGUUCACAGGGAAAACAUGCAGAAAGUUCAGAUUGAAACUUUACAGCAGAGUCGGAGUGAACAGGCCGUUUCAGUUCAUUACGUGAUCUCAGGCUGUUCACAGACAGAGAUGAUCAAUAUUUASACAAGGUGGAUCUGCAGAGCGACACCUGAAACCUGGACUCAAACAGAAGAGUACCGUGUACCUAAUAAAGUGGCCACUGGCGGUGAAUCUCCAGGA